rnacentral:lncRNA from 1 species
CUCCCUCUCUUCUCCCUUCUACUUCCAACGCCUAAAGGAUUGGGGCAUCCUCUAUCUCCAUGCCCAAGAAGAGCUUGGGCAUCCCCUUUAGUGGUUGAUUUUUAGAUUUUGAUUGCUUUAUAAUCAAAGAAAGGAGAGCAAGAAAAGAAGAGAAAAAAAAAGAUCAAGAAAAAAAUCAAAGAGUUAAUCGUGAUCCAGGCUUCGAUCAGAUUCGUAAGG